GUGUUCGCUUGGGCAGCAUAUAUACUAAAACUGGAGCAAUAGAGAAGAUUAGCAGGCCCCUGCGACGACACACAAAUUCGCGAAGCGUUCCAUAUUGUU
rnacentral:snRNA from 1 species